GACGAACGCUGGCGGCGUGCUUAACACAUGCAAGUCGAACGGAAAGGCCCUGCUUUUGUGGGGUGCUCGAGUGGCGAACGGGUGAGUAACACGUGAGUAACCUGCCCUUGACUUUGGGAUAACUUCAGGAAACUGGGGCUAAUACCGGAUAGGAGCUCCUGCUGCAUGGUGGGGGUUGGAAAGUUUCGGCGGUUGGGGAUGGACUCGCGGCUUAUCAGCUUGUUGGUGGGGUAGUGGCUUACCAAGGCUUUGACGGGUAGCCGGCCUGAGAGGGUGAACGGCCACAUUGGGACUGAGAUACGGCCCAGACUCCUACGUGAGGCAGCAGGGGGGAAUAUUGCACAAUGGGCGGAAGCCUGAUGCAGCAGCGCCGCGUGCGGAAUGACGGCCUUCGGGUUGUAAACCGCUUUCGCCUGUGACGAAGCGUGAGUGACGGUAAUGGGUAAAGAAGCACCGGCUAACUACGUG
rnacentral:rRNA from 1 species